AUAAACCACACGAGAUGACGAAAUAUAUAGGGAAAAAAUGGCAAAUCAUCUUCCGAAGACCCACUCAGCCUUUUUUAUGAACAUGGAAAUCCUUUGUUUACCAAGAAGUGUGUGCAGGUUCCAUGAACAUUCCUCUUAGCCAAGAAUGAGACAGGGUAGGGAGAAAGGAGUGAGUUUCUUUAAUUUCUGGACAAGAAACUAGUCAUUACACAAUGAAGAAGGAACUUUUUGCCCAUAUGAGAGCAUAAUAUGGGCUAUAUGCCAACUGAAGGUAGAACAGACAUGGAUGGCCUCUUCUCCCAAGCUCCUAAGGCACUAGCUUGCUGUUUUUUUUUUUUUUUUAGAAAAUUUUUAAACUUGCCAAAUAUCAGAAUGUUUUUGUGUAUACUAAAGGCACCUUGAUCAUGGAUUGGCUUAAUCCUUUCAAAUCCCAAUGAUGUCGACAGGGAAACAGGUGGUAACAGUGAGUAAAUGUUGAGCUAUAUUUUGUUCUAUCUCCAUAGCAACAAGAUAGAAAAAGGUCUAUAGGAUACAUUGUUUCCAGAAAGGAAGAAAAGAAAAUGAGAUGUUCCUUGCUUCUUUCCAUGUGUCCUUAAGUCUCAUUUCUAGCCUUUUCCUCUAGAAAAAAAAGUAAGGAACAAAGGUACAAAACAAUCUAUUUAUUAUACAAAUAAUGUCAUGUAGGCUCUGUGAAGAUAUCUUAAGUUUAGGGUCUUUUUUAUCAUCUUCCUCUCAUACGACAGAAGGUUGUAUUAUCAGUACCAAUUCUUGAUUAUCACUUUCUUACUAGAAUAUUUUAAUGCCCCAUCCAAUGUGCAGACAUGUGACUUACCUUUAGAAUUAAGCAGAAAUUAUGAAUGCCACACCCAUGCAUAAAUCUAAGAAUCCUUACACGCUUCUGUGGUUGGUUUUGCUCCUCCUGUCACCAAAUGGCAUAUCCUUCAACCAGAUUCCUAGAAUAAAGAACAUGUGAAGAAUUGCACAUUACCCACAUUAGACACAAAGCCACUAUUUAUGUGAAGAAGAAAAUAAUGUUUGUAAUUAUGAAUACC
rnacentral:lncRNA from 1 species